UUGAAUCCUGGCUCAGGACGAACGCUGGCGGCGUGCCUAAUACAUGCAAGUCGAGCGGACAGAUGGGAGCUUGCUCCCUGAUGUUAGCGGCGGACGGGUGAGUAACACGUGGGUAACCUGCCUGUAAGACUGGGAUAACUCCGGGAAACCGGGGCUAAUACCGGAUGCUUGUUUGAACCGCAUGGUUCAAACAUAAAAGGUGGCUUCGGCUACCACUUACAGAUGGACCCGCGGCGCAUUAGCUAGUUGGUGAGGUAAUGGCUCACCAAGGCAACGAUGCGUAGCCGACCUGAGAGGGUGAUCGGCCACACUGGGACUGAGACACGGCCCAGACUCCUACGGGAGGCAGCAGUAGGGAAUCUUCCGCAAUGGACGAAAGUCUGACGGAGCAACGCCGCGUGAGUGAUGAAGGUUUUCGGAUCGUAAAGCUCUGUUGUUAGGGAAGAACAAGUACCGUUCGAAUAGGGCGGUACCUUGACGGUACCUAACCAGAAAGCCACGGCUAACUACGUGCCAGCAGCCGCGGUAAUACGUAGGUGGCAAGCGUUGUCCGGAAUUAUUGGGCGUAAAGGGCUCGCAGGCGGUUUCUUAAGUCUGAUGUGAAAGCCCCCGGCUCAACCGGGGAGGGUCAUUGGAAACUGGGGAACUUGAGUGCAGAAGAGGAAGAGUGGAAUUCCACGUGUAGCGGUGAAAUGCGUAGAGAUGU
rnacentral:rRNA from 1 species